CUUUCCUCCCUCCCAACGUAAUCCAGCCAAGCCCAUCCUCCCGCUUUCCUUUGUUUUUUUGUCGACGAAUACGCCACCGCUUUCCUCCCUCCCAGCUUUCCCCUCUGUCCACUCCGGCGUGCCGCCCAGCAGGAUCCCGUCCAAGGUCCAACAGGCAAGACCGGCGGGCCGGCUCCCCCCUACGCCCGCCACACCCUGCGUCGCCGCCCCGCCUAGGAUCCGUUGGUCGCCCCCCUCGCCGAUCCCUCCCUGUCUGCCGCGCCUCACUCCCACGCCGGCAUCCAUCCUUCCUCCCGCCGCACAGCACUCAAGCCAUGGCGGCCACCUCGUUCCCUCCUCGCCCCUUCACCCUCCUUCUCCAUACUCGCGCUGCCUGCCACGACUACUUCCAAGGGAUCAGCGCCCGGUGGUGUCGGGGUUGGGGAUCGGUGUCGGCCUAGGAGGAGUUCGGCCACCUCGAUCCAGAGGCCAUGUCAUCGGUGGCGCAUCAGGUGGAUAGGUUGCAAUGUCGGCAGCGGCCUGAGUUGAGUACAGCUGAAUCUGUCCAAGAAGGCCAUAUGGAGGCUUCCUUUCCAAUUGCUCCCGACUACGGCGCGAUAUCCGUCGACUUGAAGACGGCGCUCCACUUCCUCUCCCCACCAUCUACACAAGAAACGGAUCGAUUGCCCUUUGAAGUUUGCUCGGCUCACCUCAUUUCAUUCCCAUUGGUCUUCCAUCUCAGUCCUAAAUAUGUUUUGGUCUUCUUUGCAUUCCAAGAUUCACCUUAUUAUUUUGGUCACUUUUUCCAUUUGCCAUCUUACUCUUCCUGUUUUUUCAUCGUCUUUGAUUUUGCAUCAACAUGUCAUUAUGUGGCUACAGUCUACGGGCAAGAGAUUCAAAUUGGUACGCAUGAAGCUCAACAUUUGGGGCAUAAUAUGUGUAACCCUGUUGUAUUUUUCGCCUCUCCUAUUUUAUUUGACUACUUGCUUGCAAAGGUUAGGAUAUAUUUUUUAUCAUCAUUCUCAUUCCCGAGCCUUUGCUUUCAGAGAGAGCAGAAACCCAACAGUUCAAAAUCUGGAACCCUUGGUUAUAACAAACACCAGCUCCAUACAUUACAAGAAACUGGAGAAAUACAUACCAGUGUCCGAAGCCAAACGAUGAACAGCGCCCCCUUGAGUAACAUACAGGAGGAUGAGCGGCAGGUGGACAAAAUAGGCUCUGAUGAAACAACGUGUCACAUCAUCAGUUAGAAAGUAAUUCAGGUGUCCCAAAAUUCUUUCACAAAACUCACGGUAUUUCUACACUGUAAAACUAUAUGUGCAGCAGCUGCAUAUGAUAACAUCUUGCGCUACAAUAGCUUGACAAUUUAAAUCCCCAAUCAUUCUCAUAUUUGUCUGUGCAAUUGUUUGCCUUUGAUGAAUUGGAAGCAGAUUUCGGUCAAAAAUAAAUCUGGGUAAUCUUUAUGAUCCAUCAUCUACUCAGUAUGUCUCCUAAUCUUUGCUGCAAUCAGUGAUAGUAACAAGUUCAUUCGUUCAUGUAGAAGUCUCAUGUUUUGCAAUUUUGGAACAAAAGGAGUUCAAUAAGUAUUUCUUAUGGAUAUUAGUUAUCUACUUAGCACCAUAUGAAUAAUUUCCAGUGUCUCUUCUUGAUAGGUAUGAUAUAUGCUAUAUUCAUACUCUUCUUUUCCGUUGUAAAGGCUUAAAAUAUGGCACAUAUAUUGUACUGCGGUCCUAUAUCCUUUACCUUGAUGUUCCUGUGAGGGAGGUAAAUACAGAUCCCAAAUUCAUGGUUUCUCUUAAUUCCCAAUUUCUUGAUCCCUUUCAUUUACUGAGUCUGCAAAUCAUUUUGAUUAUUUAUUUUGAACCAAUAUCCAUCCUAGAGAGGGCAAGCGUGGCGCAGUGGUGAAGUCCUCCCACUUGUGCCAAGAGGUCCUGGGUUCGAACCAGCCUCUCUGCAUUGCACUUUGCAGGGGCAAGACAGCUUCUACGCACUGGGUCUGCCCUUUAUCCAUCCUAGAUUAGGAUCAAACCCCCGGGAAUACGCUGCGCGGCACAGAUCCGCAUGGUCGUCUGACGGGAGAAAUUUCAGGAGCAUCUGAGCCCGUCCGUCCUCAGAAAAGAAUAUUUGUGAUCUAUACUUCAGUUAUUGCUACAUGUGACAUGUCCUCUCUGCAGAUUCUUUUUUAAUGUCUAUCAAUAAGUUUUUGUUGAAAAUUGGAACAGUUGAGUGUUCUUGCUGAAGUAAUAAGUGUAUAUAAUGUUGUCAUCUGACAUUAUUAUUUACGAACGCUAAAUUUAUUGGCACACUACCAACUAUCUUAUACCUACAGUCUUAUUCCUAUUAAUAUAUGCUUAUUCUUCUUACAUUCAUGUACCAUGGCCAUCUCUAUUUUGUUCUAGCUACCCUAUAACCUAUAUCUCCUUCACAGUAGCAUAUACAUGUGAUGCUCAAACUGCCGGAAAAAAGAUUGAAGCGUGCAUACAGAGUUGCCAACCAUGGCGUAUUUUUUGCUAUGUACAAGCUGUCUUUCAGGAAAGUAUUUUUUUAAUGGUUCUGAUCAUCUGUUGUAGAUAUACCUAUAUGCAAAGAUCUGGAGCUAUAUCUAUCCGUGCAACAAAUUAUGCAUAGUAAUUUGAUUUGUAAAUAAGGAAUCUGGUUAUCCAUUCAUUUUACUUAAAUUUCGGCAUCCUGUUUUUUUGCAAGUGUUUGUAGUAGAUUCAACAUCUCAUCACUAGAAGAGAAGCUAAUUUGCUUCUGGGCAUGCUUCUAUCUUCUUACAAUAUAUCAAGUUUACAUAAAUUGUUUCUGUUAUUUAUAUAAAUGUAUAUUCAAAGUAUGCCAGAAUAUCCUCAUUGCCUCAUGUCGUGUUGUAAGUGUGUUUGUGUGCCAAAGAAGUUGUGGUCCUCAAAGUUAAUUAUUGUCCAUAACCAUACAUCUAAUUACUGUUGGAAUACUGUAAUUACACUUUGCAGAUCGAAUAUCUUAUUAUAGUUGUUUCA